AUGUCUGGUUUGGAGGAGAGUGCCAAAGUAGAGGUAAAUGACACCUCAAUGUCAAGAAACUCUCAGGACCUUUUGAACAGCGAGACAUUCUGUGCAGAGGGAACUACAUUAGGACCAUCAGUGCAUUAUCCUCAAGAGACCAUGGCACUACUCAGUGACCAAGGAGACCUCCUGACCACUGUUGGUUUUAUGGACACCAUCUGCUCAGAUGGACCAGCCAAGGCUGCUUACGUCAAUGGAUCCACCUCACCCCAUAUCUCAGAUGAAAUCUUGCUCGAUAUUUCAAAAAAUGUACCAGGAUUCCUUCCCAAAUCAUUACAUGCUCAGAAUUCAGUCACAACCAAUGUCCACUUUGAAGGAGCUGAUCCACUCAGAAAAGAGGGGGAAAUAACAAUCAGGCAAACGUUGACUGCAGAGGAUGUGGAGCAUAGGGGCAUAUGGGGCUUUGAUACAGAAUCUCCAGAAAGCUCAUUAGAUCAUUAUGAUGAUGGAAAUGACCUUAACUGGAAUCCCCAAAGAGAAUUUAUGAAGUUCCUGUGGGAUGAUGAUAAUGGUCUCGAAAUGGAGGGGAAAAUGUCCCCUGUUCCUUCACCCAUCAACCAUAAAAGAAGAGCUCCUUCACCGUUCGGCCAUAAAAGAAGAAAACGUAAAGAAAAACUGGUGUUAAAAGUUGAUCCUUCAGAGGACAUCUACCCUGAGUUGAAUUUUGAAUCAAAAAAGGAUCACCUGGGGGAAGGAAGCCAGAUAGAAUGCAGUAAUGUUAAGAAGACACGCUCCCCAAGGAAACCAUCCAAAUUACAGUCACCCAUUGUAAAGCGUACCAAGUAUUUUAAUGGAGCUGCUGAGGCAGUCAAACACCUGUUUGCUAAACCUGCAAAACAGGCUAUUAGCAAGACUCAAAAGUUGGGAUUAAUUAGAGAAACUUUGCCAUCAGACUCGUGUUCUAUUGAGGAACCUAAAUUUUUUCCCCGUAACAGUGGUUUUAAAGAGAAAUCUCAAGAACACAGACAAAUUACAUGUAAUACAGACACAACUAGUUCAAAGCCAUUCAUAUGUAAGGAAUGUGGACAGUGUUACCAUGAUCAGAGUUCAUUGUUAAAUCACAUAAGUGUUCACCGGGACAAG
rnacentral:lncRNA from 1 species